UCCCCGUUUGUGCGAGGCAGUCUGUCCAGAGUGCUCCAAACUCUCGUUCAAGUGGCAACAGGACACAAGGGUUGCGCUCGUUGCGGGACUUAACCCAACAUCUCACGACACGAGCUGACGACAGCCAUGCAGCACCUGUGCAAGCUCCCCUUGCGGGGUCGUCCCACUUUCAUGGUUCUACUACUUGCAUGUCAAGGCCAGGUAAGGUUCUUCGCGUUGCAUCGAAUUAAGCCACAUACUCCACCGCUUGUGCAGGCCCCCGUCAAUUCCUUUGAGUUUUAAUCUUGCGACCGUACUCCCCAGGCGGAUAACUUAAUGCGUUAGCCGCGCCACCCAAGCACCAUGUGCCCGGACAGCUAGUUAUCAUCGUUUACGGCGUGGACUAC
rnacentral:misc_RNA from 1 species